ACUGCCUCUCACUCAUUGAACUUGACUGCUGCUUGCUUGGUGCCUGACCCUGUGCAAGGCUACUGGCUGUGAAACAGGGUGAGAGACGUGCUGACGUAGGAUGGAGAGAAGAGCCUAGAAGGCCUGGCGUGGGAAGAAGAUACAGCAACUUCAGGGGAAAGGCAGAGCGAGGCCCUGAGAGCUCUGGGUCGACAGUGCCUGACAGGUGCUGGCACAACGCCAUGGCAACAACUGACCAAGCAGUUUCUCUGGAGCAGACAGCCUGGGUCCAAAUCGCAGCCUCCUUGCUAGCUGUGUGAUCUCAGACAGGUGACUUAACUUUUCUGUGUCUCAGUGUCCAUGUUUGUAAAAUGGCAAUGUCACAAUAUCCAUCUUAUGAAGUUGUCAAGACUAAAAGAGUUAAUAUUUAUAAAGUCUUAGAAGAUGAUGGAACAUGAUAGUGUAUGAAAAUAGAAUGUGUACAUGUAUGUGUAACUGGGUCACCAUGCUGUACAGUAGAAAAAAAAGUUGUAUUGGGGAAAUAACUAUUAAAAAAUUUGAAAAUAAAUAAAUAAAUAAAAAAUAAAGUCUUAGAAGU
rnacentral:lncRNA from 1 species